UGGCUCAGGAUGAACGCUGGCGGUAUGCUUAACACAUGCAAGUCGAACGAACGUUUUCGGACGUUAGUGGCGGACGGGUGAGUAACGCGUGAGAAUCUACCUUCAGGUUGGGGAUAACAGACGGAAACGACUGCUAAUACCCAAUAUACCGAGAGGAGAAAGGCUAGCUGCCUGAAGAUGAGCUCGCGUCCGAUUAGCUAGUUGGUGAGGUAAGGGCUUACCAAGGCGAUGAUCGGUAGCUGGUCUGAGAGGAUGAUCAGCCACACUGGGACUGAGACACGGCCCAGACUCCUACGGGAGGCAGCAGUGGGGAAUUUUCCGCAAUGGGCGAAAGCCUGACGGAGCAAUACCGCGUGAGGGAGGAAGGCUUUUGGGUUGUAAACCUCUUUUGUUCGGGGAAGAAGAACUGACGGGUACCGAACGAAUAAGCAUCGGGCUAACUCCGUGCCAGCCGCCGCCGUAAAACCUGGGACU
rnacentral:rRNA from 1 species